rnacentral:misc_RNA from 1 species
GAUGAAGAACGCAGCGAAAUGCGAUACUUGGUGUGAAUUGCAGAAUCCCGUGAACCAUCGAGUCUUUGAACGCAAGUUGCGCCCGAAGCCACUAGGCCGAGGGCACGCCUGCCUGGGCGUCACACGUCGUUGCCCCCCCCCCAUCUACUCCUUCGGGAUUGCGGGGGGCGGAUGAUGGCCUCCCGUGCGCCUAGCCGCGCGGUUGGCAUAAAUACCAAGUCCCCGGCGACGCACGCCACGACAAUCGGUGGUUGCGAAACCUCGGUUGCCCGUCGUGUGCGUUCGUCGCGCAUCGAGGGCUCGAAAAAAUGCUCGGCUCCGGCUCGGCUUUCAACGCGACCCCAGGUCAGGCGGGGUUACCCGCUGAAUUUAAGCAUAUCAAUAAGCGGAGGA